GCAGAGCAAGGCUGUUGCAGGAGUUGGCUGGCAGGACUCACAGGAGGAGGUGGCAAAUCAGCUUAUUUUUCUGAGCCACUUCAUUCUUCAUCACAAGUGGGUUUGGGUGGGUUUUUUUUUUGGUUUAGGUUUUGGGGUUUUUUUUGGUCAGGGUUGAGAGCAGGCAAAGUGGUGAGGAUUGCAGAGGAGUCUGUUAUGAAAUCAGAAGUGAUUUUAGAUGUCUGAAACAGUUUCUUUAGGCAGCUGAGAUCAGUUGCACUGUUGGCAAAUGUGCUUCAAGCUGGCUGGUGCCUCCCUUGAGGGACAGUUUCCAUCCAGGGCCCAUUGCAGUGGUAGUACAGAAAAGGGCUUUCAUUUGCUUUGGGCUAAGGAUCUUCUGCUGCCCAGUUCCACCAGCGAGAAGAGAAGCUGGAGAUGAUGUGGGAGAGUGACAACAGCAUUGUUUUUGGUGAGUUAUCGGCUGUUCCUUCCCCCUCAAAUCCCCAUGGUGGGUUUGUGUUAGAAGAUUUUGCUCAAAGCCCCAUACUCCUGAACUAUGGGUUUGAUAACAAAUGGGCAGACUGCACUGGCACAGGCUUUGCCUUUCAGGAGGUACUGAAGAAAUUGGUUUAAAUGGAUCAAAUUCUCAGAAACCCAGCCUGUGGGUUGUGCCCUAGCUUUUUAGGCUUUAUURUUUUAUUUUGUUUCUUUGUUUGCUUAUCUCCAAAGCUGAUAUGAAGAAAAAGACUGAAAGAGCCUCCUGAAGGUCAAGGUGAGGCUGACCAAAACCUGAAUGCUGGUAUGCACCAGCAGUAAUAAAUCCCUGCUCGCAGGUGCUGGAAGCCUCUUCAGCCAGAGAAACAACAUUGCUGCAGGGGACAAACAGCUAGUCCUGACCUUCUUUACACAGCCAUUCUCUGGGAAAAAGUAUCCCCUGAAGUCAAUGUGCAUUCUGCCUAGCUUUCAUCAGGAGGAAGACACCUGGAUUGACAUGACAACAGCAAAUAAUAGGUGAUGGUGAUUUGCACUCUCUCCACUUAAAUCAGCUAUCUGGCACAUCAAUGCUUAGAAGGCUUAGGAGAAGAAGAAAACAUCAAUAUUUCACUGAACACAAAAAUCGCACAACUCCCCAGUCGUCAUUUUAAUGUCAGCUGUGGUUAGUUUGUUG